AUAAGGGUCACCAUAGUGACAAAAAUAAUGACAAAAUGACAUGUGACAUUGAUAACGAAAUAAAGAAAAUUAAUUAUAUUUAUUUUCGAAAUAAAAUAAAAGCAAAGUAUAAUCGGAAUAAAGUUUUGCGAAAGCGACAUAAACGUGUUGUUUCGAAAUCUAGGAAGACUUCCACGUCAUCAAAGUUGUACGAGCAUUGCCGGUGAAGGGAUAAGAAGGUGAGCUACUUCAUCUUCGUGAGAAGAUGAUGUCCACGGCAGAGCUACUUCAUCUUCAAUAUGAAGGAAGAUGAAGAUAACCAAUGUGGUCAAGCCUGUGUUAUUUUUAUAAGUUUUUUUU